rnacentral:rRNA from 1 species
UUAAUGGAGAGUUUGAUCCUGGCUCAGGAUGAACGCUGGCGGCAUGCCUAACACAUGCAAGUCGAGCGGCAGCAUGCUCACUGAAUCUUUCACGCGUUUGGAAGGUUUUGUGAGUGAUGGCGAGCGGCGGACGGCUGAGUAACGCGUGGGAAUCCACCCCAAAGUGAGGGAUAACGCACCGAAAGGUGUGCUAAUACCGCAUAUGGUCUUCGGAUUAAAGUUUUAACGCUUUGGGAGGAGCCCGCGUCGGAUUAGAUAGUUGGUGAGGUAAUGGCUCACCAAGUCGACGAUCCGUAGCUGGUCUGAGAGGAUGAUCAGCCAGACUGGAACUGAGAUACGGUCCAGACUCCUACGGGAGGCAGCAGUGAGGAAUAUUCCACAAUGGGCGAAAGCCUGAUGGAGCAAUGCCGCGUGCAGGAUGAAGGCCUUCGGGUUGUAAACUGCUUUUAUAUGAGAAGACUAUGACGGUAACAUAUGAAUAAGGACCGGCUAACUACGUGCCAGCAGCCGCGGUCAUACGUAGGGUCCAAGCGUUAUCCGGAGUGACUGGGCGUAAAGAGUUGCGUAGGCGGUUAUGUAAGCGAGUGAUGAAAACUAUCGGCUCAACCGAUAGCCUAUUAUUCGAACUGCAUAACUCGAGAGUAUCAGAGGUCGCUGGAAUUCCUAGUGUAGGAGUGAAAUCCGUAGAUAUUAGGAGGAACACCAAUGGCGUAGGCAGGCGACUGGGAUAUUUCUGACGCUAAGGCACGAAAGCGUGGGGAGCGAACCGGAUUAGAUACCCGGGUAGUCCACGCCGUAAACUAUGGAUGCUAAUUGUUUGGGGUAUCGACCCCUCGAGUAAUAAAGCUAACGCGUUAAGCAUCCCGCCUGUGGAGUACGGCCGCAAGGCUAAAACAUAAAGGAAUUGACGGGGACCCGCACAAGCGGUGGAGGAUGUUCUUUAAUUCGAUGCUAAGCGAAGAACCUUACCAGGGCUUGACAUCCCUUGAAUUUCUCCGAAAGGAGAGAGUGCUUUAUUGAACAAGGUGACAGAUUCUGCAUGGCCGUCGUCAGCUCGUGUCGUGAGAUGUUUGGUUAAGUCCAUCAACGAGCGCAACCCUUGUGAUUAGUUGUAUUUUUCUAAUCAGACUGCCCCGGUAACGGGGAGGAAGGAGGGGAUGAUGUCAGGUCAGUAUUGAUCUUACGUCCUGGGCUAGAAACGUCCUACAAUGGCCGGUACAACGGGCAGCUAACCCGCGAGGGGGAGCAAAUCCCAUCAAAGCCGGUCCCAGUUCGGAUUGCAGGCUGAAACUCGCCUGCAUGAAGUCGGAAUCGCUAGUAAUCGCAGAUCAGCACGCUGCGGUGAAUACGUUCCCGGGUCUUGUACACACCGCCCGUCAAACCAUGAAAGUCAGGAGCACCCGACGUCCGAAUUUAUUUCGGCCUAAGGUGAGCUUGGUGAUUGGGGUUAAGUCGUAACAAGGUAUCCGUACCGGAAGGUGCGGAUGGAUUACCUCCUUU